UACGUAGGGGGCAAGCGUUGUCCGGAUUUAUUGGGCGUAAAGAGCGUGUAGGCGGCCUUACAGGUCAGCUGUGAAAACUCGAGGCUCAACCUCGAGACGUCGGUUGAAACCGUAUGGCUAGAGUCCGGAAGAGGAGAGUGGAAUUCCCGGUGUAGCGGUGAAAUGCGCAGAUAUCGGGAAGAACACCCGUGGCGAAGGCGGCUCUCUGGGACGGUACUGACGCUGAGACGGCGAAAAGCGUGGGGAGCGAACAGG
rnacentral:rRNA from 1 species